CCAUUAAUUGUGUAUUAUUAGCCUAAAAAUGGACUGUCCACAGACCGCCUAUAGGAGCUCUGUCAAAUAGGUUACAGGAUGGAUGCUGUUGACUGACUUAGACAUUUUCAGCGGGUCAGAUCCUGUUCAGAUUUGGGGAUUUCACACUAGCUCAGACCACAUUAUGGGGUCAAACUGAUUUUUUGGGAAAAAAAAAAACUUUUUUUCCCUAAAAUGUAUAUGUAUAAAGAUAGAGAUGUAUAGAUUGCAAGUAGAUGCAACAUACAUGUUUAUAUUUUUAUGGGGUCAAACUGAUUUUAUGGAUAAAAACCUUUUCCCCCCUAAAAUUUAUAUAGUGACUUACUUUAAAUUGUACAUGCUGGUCUCUAGUAUGUUUUGAAGUAAGACACUGUUUAAGGAAGUGAUUGUACAUAAAUUAUAUAGUGACUUACUUUAAAUUAUACAGCAUUAAAUAGUGACUUAAUUUAAAUUAUACAGCAUUAGAUAGUGACUUACUUUAAAUUAUACAUUUAUUAUUUAUUCAUUUACAUCGUGGGUGAGUAAAUGGUUUUAUUUUGUUUUACUGACCCUUACUAUUAUUAAUGUUCUGGAAAUAAGUCUAUUAUGAUCAUCAGGCCUGCAUUCAUUUGGUCAAAAAUACAGGAUAUAUUUGGUUAAAUGGAUUCAAAAGUGACUCUAAAGAUUUAUAUUGUUGGUAAAGAUUUUGAUUAUUAUUUUGAAUUCUUUGGUAACUGAUCAACAAACUACAGGCUUGAUGAUCUUCUUCUUUCAAAUAAAAAUAAUAAAUGUGUCAUUUGUGUGAAAUAAUAGCAAAAUGAUGAGCGACAGCGGUGUUAUCACAUCAGGAGUGAGUGAAGAGGCAACCACUGAGAUGAUAAGCCGCACUGACACUGAGCACCCAUCCUCCAGGAGGUAAUACUCCUCCUCCUCCUCCCCC